rnacentral:rRNA from 1 species
UAGCAUAAUAAAUUGUUCUUUAAUUGGGAACUGGAAUGAAAGGUUAUACAAUUUAUAAUUUUAUUAAAUUUAAUAUAUGAAUUUUCAUUAUAAGUAAAAAUGCUUAUAUUUUAUAAAGGGACGAUAAGACCCUAGAAGCUUUAGUUUUUAGUGAUAUAAUAUAGUUAUAUUUAUAGGUUAUAUUUUAAAAAAUUUUGAUUGGGGAAAUAAGAAUUUUAUAAAUAAUUUUGUUAGGUAUGAUUAUAAUAUUUAAAGAUCUUUUAUAUAAAAAUGGGAUGUAAAAGUUACUCUAGGGAUAACAGCAUAAUAAUUUUGGAUAGACCUUAUAUAUAAAAUUGAUUAUGACCUCGAUGUUGAAUUAAAAAUAUCUUUAUAAAGUAGAAAUUAUAAAAGAAGGUUUGUUCAACCUUUAAUUUUUU